CUAUGCAUUUUGUGAAAGGCAUGUACCCAGAACUCUUCCAGGAGAAUGAGUGGAACGUCUUCAUUGGAUCCAUAGUUGGAGAAAUGUUUAAGAAAGAAGAGUUUCCUUCUUGGAUUGAUCAGGAGAGACAUGGAACGGUGGCCAUUUUGAAAACUACAUUCCCAGC